AGGGUAACGAUCAGAGAAGAAGAACAAGGAACAAACCUUUGUUCAACCUUAAUCCAUCAAAUUGGAGGAUGAAUUAGGGCCAAAUCACAUGCAUGAACAUAAAUUCGUGAUCAUCUAAGCUUGGAGAUCAUAAGUUUAGCGCUUGACAAGCUAGGUGGAAGCUUGGGAAGAAGCGGGUCAAGAAGAUCAAAUACGCGGGAAAAACAUAAUCGGAUGCAAGGUAAUAAUUGGAGUACCGGAUGACGAUCAAGCUCAACGAAGAACCGAACACGAUCAAGUUACAAGCUUCCGCACAUUGUUUCGUCGUCAUUUUUAAAUGGCGAACUUAUACAUAUUAUGUGGUAUUGUUUUUAUUGAGAAAAGUUUUAAAAAACCCUUAUUUUCAUAAGUAUGUGA